GAUGAACGCUGGCGGCGUGCCUAAUACAUGCAAGUCGAGCGAACAGACGAGGAGCUUGCUCCUCUGACGUUAGCGGCGGACGGGUGAGUAACACGUGGAUAACCUACCUAUAAGACUGGGAUAACUUCGGGAAACCGGAGCUAAUACCGGAUAAUAUAUUGAACCGCAUGGUUCAAUAGUGAAAGACGGUUCUGCUGUCCCUUAUAGAUGGAUCCGCGCCGCAUUAGCUAGUUGGUAAGGUAACGGCUUACCAAGGCAACGAUGCGUAGCCGACCUGAGAGGGUGAUCGGCCACACUGGAACUGAGACACGGUCCAGACUCCUACGGGAGGCAGCAGUAGGGAAUCUUCCGCAAUGGGCGAAAGCCUGACGGAGCAACGCCGCGUGAGUGAUGAAGGUCUUCGGAUCGUAAAACUCUGUUAUUAGGGAAGAACAAAUGUGUAAGUAACUAUGCACGUCUUGACGGUACCUAAUCAGAAAGCCACGGCUAACUACGUG
rnacentral:rRNA from 1 species